rnacentral:rRNA from 1 species
UACUCCUACGGGAGGCAGCAGUGAGGAAUCUUCCACAAUGGGCGAAAGCCUGAUGGAGCAACGCCGCGUGAAGGAUGAAGGUCUUCGGAUUGUAAACUUCUUUUAUGAGUGAAGAAUAUGACGGUAACUCAUGAAUAAGCACCGGCUAACUACGUGCCAGCAGCCGCGGUAAUA